GUGCAGGAUAAAGGACAAGUGCAGAGGAAAAGGAAGAUAUUUGCUUCACCACUGAGGAUUGAGACCACAUGGAUGGACUGAGGAUCGCUGUUGUCUACAAGGUAAUUAGAGCUGGAAAAUUAACGCUGCAGAAAGCCUGCUGGAUAUCAGCUUCAUAUAGGCUUCAACAACCGUGAGAAACUUUACAUCCUCCCCAACCUAAAUGUCUAACAGCCUCCUCCUUUUCCUCCUUCACUGUGACCCUGAAGUGGGUUGUAGCCAUAAUUAUGGUUUUACGUCCACCACAGAGAGUGUGGGUGGGGAUGCUGCUAGCAUUAGUGGUGGUGGUGGAGCUUCCCGGGGCCUUGCAGAAGUGCAUCUUUGAUGAGGUUCAGGCUCAGGUCAGAGUGGUCAGAGCUGCACCCACAGAGCCCAGACUCAGAGCACCGACCGGG
ensembl:lncRNA